UAAGGAAUAUUGCUCAAUGGGAGAAAUCCUGAAGCAGCAACGCCGCGUGGAGGAUGAAGGGUCUAUGACUUGUAAACUCCUGUAAAGAAGGAAAAAAUUCCCAUUUGAUGGGAGAUGAUGGUACUUCUGGAGUAAGCCCCGGCUAACUACGUGCCAGCAGCCGCGGUAAUACGUAGGGGGCAAGCGUUGUCCGGAUUUACUGGGUGUAAAGGGUGCUCAGGCGGAUUUGUGAGUCAGAGGUGAAAUCUUACAGCUUAACUGUGAAACUGCCUUUGAUACUGCAAGCCUAGAGUAUGGAAGAGAGUGAUGGAAUAUCUGGUGUAGCAGUGAAAUGCGUAGAUAUCAGAUAGAACACCAAUGGCGAAGGCAGUCACUUGGUCCAUUACUGACGCUAAAGCACGAAAGCGUGGGUAGCAAACA
rnacentral:rRNA from 1 species